rnacentral:lncRNA from 1 species
CGAUGUACAUCAGGGAGCGGCUCAGUGGUGGGCAAACCAGCAAGGUGGAACUGCGGCAGGGCGAGGUCUGGAUGNCGCGACGGUGGAGACGCGCCAACCAGAGGAAAGCCGAGGUGCUCGAGGCGAGCAGGCGUCGUCGUUAGUGGAGGUCGAGUCCGUGUAGAUGUAUCUCUGAUGAAUGAUGGUUUUCUUCUUCGUCUCUUCGCGUGCGCGGCCAAGUGUGUCCAGCUGUAACAGAAGACGACGCUCUUGGCGGCUCAUGAUUUGACGUGCCUGUGAAACAAAUUGUAGCAGAAAACGACGCUUCCGGCGACUCGUGUUUUGACGCGUCGUUCAAACAUUGUUCAAGCUCGAUAGAUGAACUCAUAAUCAAUAUAGAUCCUUCUGUUCUGAUUUUUUUCUCAUGGUGAUGAUGUGGAUCUUUCUGUGUUGGUUCUUCUUCAUCCGCUGAAUCUUCAAACUUCUCG